UGAUGUGAUCACAUAAAUGUUAAUGCAAUGAAUCCUAUUACAACUUUGUAGUUAAGCGUGCUUUUGCUAGAGUUGUACCAGGAUAGGUGACUUCCUUGGAAGUGUCAGUGUUGAACCCU
rnacentral:rRNA from 1 species